rnacentral:RNase_P_RNA from 2 species
GGAGUCGGCCAGACAACCGCGUCGUUCAACCGAACGCCGAGGAAAGUCCGGGCUCCACAGGGCAAGGUGCCAGGUAACGCCUGGGCGGCGCGAGCCGACGGAAAGUGCAACAGAGAGCAGACCGCCGAUGGCCAUCGGCGCCAUGUGCCGCAAGGCACGGACACCGUCGCCGCGCGCAUGCGCGCCACGGUGCGCCCGGCACAGCCGGUGGCGUCGAUGGAUCAGGCAAGGGUGAAACGGUGCGGUAAGAGCGCACCGCGAGUCCGGCAACGGACCGGCACGGCAAACCCCACCUGGAGCAAGACCGAAUAGGGGGACCAUGGCGCGGCCCGCGUCGUCCCCGGGUUGGUCGCUUGAGCCGCACGGCGACGUGCGGCCCAGAGGAAUGGUUGUCCACGACAGAACCCGGCUUAUCGGCCGACUCUUUCU